AAAAGGAACAAUAAUACUACUACUAAUAAUAAUAAAUAAAUAAAUAAAUAAAUAAAAUAAGGGCAAAGGCCUAUUUGUUGAAAGUCAACUACAGAGGGGGAAAUCAACAUGAACGAAUAGAGGACAAAAUACGAUGUAGAAGAAAAGAAGAGUAAGGAAGAAAAGAAUAGGAAAAAGGAAGAUAAAAAUUGGAUUUUCAUCCCAAAGCUUAAGAUUUUGCUUUAAAUUUUAAAAAAUGGAGGACAUACAUAUUGAUAAAGGGUCUUCUCUUCAAGAAGAUCCAAUAUUAACGACAACGAAUAUUCUACAAAAGCAAAUAAUGUUUAUAGCAUUAACAAGAACUUUGCUUUUGAGAUUUGUAUGAAAUUUAAUUCUGAAGAAGAAUCUUACAAUGCAUAUAAUUCAUGUGCUCUAGCCAAAGGUUUCGGUGUUCGAAAAAGUGCAAAGACUUACAACAUAAAUAAAGAAGUAACUAGACGGUUAUUUCUUUGUGCUUGUAAAGGAAAAUCUGAUAAUCUUUCCCUUUUUCAAGAAAGGAAACGACAGAGAUUAGAAUAUAGAUGUGGUUGCAUGGCUCGUAUAAAAUUCAAAAUUUCAAAUGGAAUGUGGGAAGUAUGUGAAUUCAAUGAUGUGCAUAGUCAUCCAAUGAUAGAAGAUAAUUUGAACUGUUUCAUACAAUCGGGUCGUAAGCUUAAAAGUGCUACUAAAAGUAUUCUUGGUUCUAUGGUGGAUGUCAGUAUUCGAACAAAAAAAGUGGUUAGAUACCUUCAUAACGAAGCUGGUGGAAUUGAAAAUGCGGGAUUUAUUGAACAAGAUGCUCGUAACUUUAUACAAGCACAUAAAAGGAAUAUGAUAAGUGGUGGAGAUGCUCAAACCAUGAUAAAUCAUUUUAUGCAUUUACAAUCAAAGGAUUCAAACUUUUUUUAUUUUUUUCAAGUUGACGAAGAUGGCAGAUUGUGUAAUUUCUUUUGGAGAGAUAGUAUAUCUAAAUUGCACUACGAGUGUUUGGAGAUGUGAUGAUUUUUUACACUACUUAUCGUACAAAUAGAUAUGACAUGAUUUGUGCUCCAUUUGUUGGUGUGAAUAACCACUGGAAAAAUACUUUCUUUGGAUGUGCAUUUUUAUACAAUAAAACAAGUGGUUAUUUUGUUCUUUGAA